rnacentral:rRNA from 1 species
AGCGAACGCUGGCGGCAUGCCUAACACAUGCAAGUCGCACGGGGGGGCUUCGGCCUCCCAGUGGCGGACGGGUGAGGAACGCGUAGGGACCUGUCGAGGGGUGGGGGAUAACCGCGGGAAACUGCGGCUAAUACCGCAUGACGCCGCGGCGUGACAGCCGGGGCCAAAGGCGAAAGCCGCCCGCCGAGGGGCCUGCGUCCGAUUAGCUGGUUGGCGGGGUAGCGGCACACCAAGGCGUCGAUCGGUAGCUGGUCUGAGAGGGUGAGCAGCCACACCGGGACUGAGACACGGCCGGGACUCCUACGGGAGGGAGCAGUGGGGGAUAUUGGACAAUGGGCGCAGGCCUGAUCCAGCAAGGCCGCGUGGGUGAAGAAGGUCGUCGGAUUGUAAAGCCCUUUCGGCGGGGACGAUGGUGACGGUACCCGCAGAAGAAGCCCCGGCUAACUUCGUG